CACGUAGUUAGCCGGGACUUCUUAGUCAGGUACCGCCUUUUUCUUCCCUGCUGAUAGAAGUUUACAUACCGAAAUACUUCUUCCUUCACGCGGCGUCGCUGCAUCAGGGUUUCCCCCAUUGUGCAAUAUUCCCCACUGCUGCCUCCCGUAGGAGUCUGGACCGUGUCUCAGUUCCAAUGUGGCCGUUCACCCUCUCAGGCCGGCUACUGAUCGCUGACUUGGUAGGCCUCUACCCCACCAACUAUCUAAUCAGACGCGGGCCCAUCCUGUACCGUCUCGGCUUUUCACACUGUAACAUGCGUUACUGUGCGCUUAUGGGGUAUUAGCAGCUGUUUCCGGCUGUUGUCCCCCUGUACAGGGCAGGUUGCCCACGUGUUACUCACCCGUCCGCCACUAAGUCACUUACUCUUCCUCCGAGAUUUAGUGUAAGCGCUUCGUUCAACUUGCAUGUGUUAGGCACGCCGCCAGCGUUCAUCCUGAGCCAGGGAUACGAAAACU
rnacentral:rRNA from 1 species